rnacentral:rRNA from 1 species
AAGGGCACCACAAGAACGCGUGGAGCAUGUGGCUUAAUUUGACUCAACGCGGGAAAUCUUACCGGGUCCGGACACACUGAGGAUUGACAGGUGUUUCGUAAAGUCAAGCUUUUUAAUGAUAUUGUGCUUUCGAGUAUUUUAUCAUUUAGGAAGUUUUUCAUUUACAUUUCAAAUAUGCUAGUCCUUUCAUGAUUGUGUGAUAGGUGGUGCAUGGCCGUUCUUAGUUCGUGGAGUGAUCUGUCUGCUUAAUUGCGUUUCACUUAUGGCGUGUAGUAUGUUACUGCUAGUUCAAUUGUGACCUCAUUUUCUUUAUAAGAAUUUGACUGCGUCCGGUUCUGGUGUGCAUACCAUUGCCACGAAGGCAACGAACGUGACCGCAACCUCUUGUUGCCUCUCUUGUGCGCUAUGAAUUAAGUUAAAAAUUUUUUUUUUUUCUUUAAAUAUAGUCGCCACAGUUCAUAGUUUGCUUUUAUCUUCUUCUUUCUAACGAAGGCGGUUGUAUAUUAGUUUUAAGCUAUGUUAUUCUGCAGUAGAGGGAAACUAGAGGGACCGCUGACAUUUCUUAAACCAGAGGAAGGUUGCGGCAAUAACAGGUCUGUGAUGCCCUUAGAUGUUCCGGGCUGCACACGUGCUACAAUGAUUAUUGCAGUGAGCAUCUUACCCAGUUCGUGUGCACAGUUGCAGUAAUACCAACUAAACGGAUUCUUUGGAUUUCUUGAUUGAAUCUCUUUUUAAGAGAUUCUUUUGAGUUUUCUUUUGAAUUCGUGGUAUCUCUCUGAUGCAUUGUUCUUUUAUUAUUGCACUUUUUGUGUAUUUUAAUUGAAUUCAACGACUAGGCUACUUCGAAAGUAAGUAGCUAAUCAAUUCGAAGUAAUGAUUUCCAAUUCUAUAAAUAUAUAUAGCACAUUUUACAUGUCCUUAGUGUUUGCAUUUGCUUUGCCUUGUGUAAAGUUUAUGUCGCUAUUGUUUGACAUGUGCUCCGUUAAUUCGUGGUGGGGACAGACCAUUGUUAAUUGUUGGUCUCGUCUUAACUAGGAAUGCCUUGUACGGGUCUUUGGUUCAACAGACCACCCGGAAUAUGUCCCUGCCCUUUGUACACACCGCCCGUCA